ensembl:lncRNA
GGUUGCAAGUCAUUCUUGGUGUUGCUUAGAGACAGGUUUUUAUUCCCAGGCAAAAUGAGAACACAAAUCUAAAUUUUUACAGCUACUGAAAUACUUCUGCAAGGUUGCUUGGUAUGGACAAAAUCUCCCUCAAUACCCAUUCAAUGCAGUCUUUGCUUACACUUCUCCCUUCAUUUGAGGGAUUCACAAUAUCUAAAAUAGGCUUGUAAAUAACCUUUCUGUAUCAGAGGUAGUUUUGUGCCUGCAUUAUAAAUCACAGAAGACAUCUGGUCAGAUACACGAUAGAAACAGCAGAAAGUUACAUCAGAGCACAGUUGAAGUCACUGAUUUUUUUUUCAAGCUAACUGGCCAUAGUGGCAAAUAUGUGAACCAAAAUUUAGAAUAGCUUUUUCAUCCACUUAAAACAAAGCAUGCAGAAACCUGUGUAGAUAACAGCCUUAGAGACAACCUUAAAUUUUGCUUGAGCACCAAGGAUGCAUUUUGAAAAGUGUUAAGUACAUUUAUGUGACAUAACUAAUGUAGUGGCUGAAUGAUGACCCACCCAAAAAAGAUAUGCUCAUGUCUUAAUGCACAAAAUUUGUGAAAUUAUCUUAUUUGGAAAAAGGGGUCUUUGAAGAUGUAAUUAAAUUAAAGAUCAUCAGAUGAGAUUUUCAUAGAUAAUCUGGGUGGGCCCUAAAUGCCAUCAUAAGUGUCCAUAUAAGACAGAGGCAGAGGUAGAUACACAGAGGGGAAGGUGAUGUGAAGACAGAGCAAAGAGACAGCCAUAAGCCAAGGAACAAUGACAGCCACCAAAAAAAGAGAAGAUGAAAUGAAUUGUUUUUCUCCUACAGCAUCCAGAAGUACAGCCCUGUCAAAAAAUCUCAAUUUUGGACUUCUGGAAUCUAAAACAAUAAGAGAAUAAAUAUUUACUCUUUUAAACCAUAGUGUUUGGGGUAAUUUCUUAGAGUAGCCACAGGAACCUAAUACAGAUUUUGGUACUGGGAAAUGGGGUAUUGCUGUGAUGAAUACCUAAAAUGAGAAAGUGGCAGCAGAAUUUGAUAAUGGAUCAAGGCUGGAAAACUUUGAUGCACUCAACAGAAAAAGCAUAUAUUUCCUCAACAAGAGCUUUGAUAGAAAUAUGAAUAUAAAGACAUUUAUGAUGAGGGCUUGGUAGGAAAUACAGAAAUUUUUAUUGGAAACUGGAAGAAAGGCAAUCCUUGCUAUACAGUGUUAUACAGAAAGAUUAUCUGAAUUGACUCCUAUAGUUAUGUGUGAAGCAGAGCUCAUAAAUGAUGAACCUGAAUAUUUAACUAAGGAGAUUUGCAAGCAAAGUGUUGGAAGUAUGGCUUAGUUACUUCUUGGUGUAUAUAGUAAAAUAGAAAAGUGAUAAAUGGAAGAAUGAAUUAUUAAGUAAAAAAGAAUGAGCACUUGAUGAUUUGGGAUAUUCUAAGCCUAACCAGAUGAUAAUAGAUAGUAAGGAUAUUCAUUGUUAGAAAAGUGCUCUAGAGACAAGGCCUAGCAUGUGGCUGGACAACCUUUGGCUUAUGCUGAAGAAAUUAGGUAUGGACUCAUGGAUUUACUUAAACAUCUCUGCAGAAACCAGGAAUAGAGAUGAGCUUAUCCAGGACAGAUGUGUAAGGAUCUUCUUUUCUAAAUGUGUGAAAUCAACAUUACAUAUAUGGGAGCCUCACCAGGUUUUUGAGAAUGUUAUACCAACAGAAACCCUUCUAGCAGGUCCUAAAAGGGUCAGAAACCAGACAAAAUGAAAGAAGUCUGUCAGACUACCAAAAUUCUACAGGCAGAAAACAGGCUGAUGAAAUAGCUGAAAAUAUGCGCUACCCUUCACAAUAAAGGAAGGAUCACUCCAAGGCCAGAGGUAUAGGUAUAAAGACAGAGACCUAAGCAUAGGGACAGAGACAGAAGUAUGAGCCAUGGAUACACAGGAAGAGGUCCAAUCCAUGAUCUAAGAGGGAAGAGCUACAGACCCAGAAGAUGGAGCCCUGAGACACACAGGCCUACUGCCAGGUCUUGAAACCUAAGGAGCAUCUGUUUGGCUGUUUUUUUGAAAAUGAUUGGGACAGGUGACUUCUUUCUGCUUUUCACUCUCUCCUUUUUGGAAUAGGAAUGUUUGCAAUUAUUAUCCCAUAUCCAUUUCAUUAUUCUUUGCAAGAAAAAAUUUGCUUUAUUACAUUUGUUCACAGAUGGAAAGGGAUAUUGCCCUAGGAUGGUUCAUACCCAGAGUUUUAUUCAUACUUGAUUUAGAUGAUGGGAUUUGGGAAUUUCAAAAUAAUGAUAUUUGGAUGAAAUUUUAGACUUAAGUGUUGACGUUGUGGCAGACAUGUUGGCACAUGCCUCUAACUCCAGCACUUGGGAUGGUGAGAUAGGAGGAUCACCAUGAGUUUGAGGCCAGCCUGGGCUACACAGUGAGUUCAAGACCAGCCUACACUAUAUAGCAAGACCUUGUCUCAAAAAACGAAAAAGAGUUGAUGCUGUAAUAGGUUGAAACUUGGGAAUAUUCGGAUAGGGUGAUUGUAUUUCACACAUGGAAGAGACCAAAAUUUGGAGGCAGGGCCAGAGAGUAGACUAUAUAGGGCUGAGUGUGACUUCCAAAAAGGUAUGUCAACAUCACAAUCCCCAAAACCUAAAAAUGUUACUGCAUUAGGAAAGAAAGUGUUACAGAAGUAAUGAAGUUAAAGAUCAUGAGAUGAGUAGAUUAAUCCGGGUGCUCUCUCAAUGUUAGCAUAAGUAUUCUUAUAUGAAGGGCAGAGGGAGAUUAGGUACUCAGAGCAGAAGGUGUUGUGAAGAUGAGCAGAGAGAAAUGUGGCCAUAAGGCAAAGAAUGACAAUAGCCACCAGAAGCUAGAAGACCCAAGGAAUGAUUUUCCACUAGAGCUUGUGGAGGGAGCAUGGCCCGGCAGGCUGGAACCUAGAUUUCAAGCUUCUGGCCUCCAGAAAUGUGAGAGAAUUUCAGUUGCAUUAAGCCAUCAAACUUGAGGUCAUUAUAGAAGCCAAAUGAAAUAAAUACAACUAGUUAAUGUUUUAAUGGUUUUGUACUUAUGUUUUUUAACAUUUUAAAGAAAAUCAGCAAAAAUAAUAUUGCUUAUGUGUGGCAGUAAUAAACAAAAGAGUUUAGUGUAAUUUGGUUCUAUACUAAAAAUGUCACUAUGUACUCUUUUUGGUCAUACAUUUCAAUCUAAAACAAAACUGCCGAGUAGCUAGAACAGGACCAUUAUAAAUCUGAUAAGCAAAUCCUUUGACUUAAUUAUUGGAUCCUGAAAGGCUUUUUAAUGUGUGCGAAAAUCAUGUGGGAUUGCUUUAAACACAAAUGUAUAACUUAUCAGUAAUAGCUUUUCGUUCAUUCUUGCUCACAAACUAGAAAACAAGGCAAGUUCACAUCUGGAAAAGGUGAUACACGUCAGUUUUUCUACCUUGACCAGCUUGAUAAUAUGACAUGGAAAAUGUCCCAAAUUUCAAUAAGGAUCUACAUUUCAAAAUCAUUUUCCUACAGUCUGAAAAGCUACCAAAAGAAGCCAUAUUAUGAAGAUUCCAGAAAAGACUUUGUAAAGACAAAAAU